UGUUAAGGAAAUUUAAGGAACUUGUUCGGUUUGUUUUAUAGCACCUGGCUGGAAGGUGCAGAGCUAUACCAGCUUAAGAAAUGAUGGA